rnacentral:rRNA from 1 species
GAUGAACGCUGGCGGCGUGCCUAAUACAUGCGAGUCGAGCGAACGGACGAGAAGCUUGCUUCUCUGAUGUUAGCGGCGGACGGGUGAGUAACACGUGGAUAACCUACCUAUAAGACUGGGAUAACUUCGGGAAACCGGAGCUAAUACCGGAUAAUAUUUUGAACCGCAUGGUUCAAAAGUGAAAGACGGUCUUGCUGUCACUUAUAGAUGGAUCCGCGCUGCAUUAGCUAGUUGGUAAGGUAACGGCUUACCAAGGCAACGAUGCAUAGCCGACCUGAGAGGGUGAUCGGCCACACUGGAACUGAGACACGGUCCAGACUCCUACGGGAGGCAGCAGUAGGGAAUCUUCCGCAAUGGGCGAAAGCCUGACGGAGCAACGCCGCGUGAGUCAUGAAGGUCUUCGGAUCGUAAAACUCUGUUAUUAGGGAAGAACAUAUGUGUAAGUAACUGUGCACAUCUUGACGGUACCUAAUCAGAAAGCCACGGCUAACUACGUG